rnacentral:rRNA from 1 species
CCUACGGGGGGCUGCAGUGGGGAAUAUUGGACAAUGGGCGCAAGCCUGAUCCAGCAAUACCGCGUGUGUGAAGAAGGCCUUAGGGUUGUAAAGCACUUUCAAUGGGGAGGAAAACCUACCGGUCAAUACCCGGUAGCUUGACAUUACCUGUAGAAGAAGCCCCGGCUAACUCCGUGCCAGCAGCCGCGGUAAUACGGAGGGUGCAAGCGUUGAUCGGAAUUACUGUGCGUAAAGCGUUAGGAGGCGGGUGAAAGCCCCGGGCUUAACCGUGGAACUGCAUUUGAAACUGGCGGACUAGAGUUGAGUAGAGGGGAGUGGAAUUUCAGGUGUAGCGGUGAAAUGCGUAGAUAUCUGAAGGAACACCAGUGGCGAAGGCGACUCCCUGGACUCAAACUGACGCUGAGGUACGAAAGCGUGGGUAGCAAACAGGAUUAGAUACCCUGGUAGUC